rnacentral:tRNA from 1 species
GCCGGGGUGGCGAAAUGGUAGACGCAGGAGACUUAAAAUCUUCUGUCCCCUGUGGACGUGCGGGUUCAAGUCCCGCCUCCGGCA